rnacentral:rRNA from 1 species
UACGUAGGGUGCAAGCGUUAAUCGGAAUUACUGGGCGUAAAGCGUGCGCAGGCGGCUUUGCAAGACAGAUGUGAAAUCCCCGGGCUUAACCUGGGAACUGCAUUUGUGACUGCAUGGCUGGAGUGCGGCAGAGGGGGAUGGAAUUCCGCGUGUAGCAGUGAAAUGCGUAGAUAUGCGGAGGAACACCGAUGGCGAAGGCGAUCCCCUGGGCCUGCACUGACGCUCAUGCACGAAAGCGUGGGGAGCAAACAGA